rnacentral:lncRNA from 1 species
GCACAGAGACUUUUACUUGAGAGUUUGGCAAUAGUAACAUGGAUGGGGAGUGGGGAAAAAUUCAUCCAAGAAUGCAAGAUAUUGCUGUCACAAGAAAACAAAACACCAGAAGAUCAAUGGUAGGGAUAUUUAUUUGGAGGGCUGCAAUCUAACAUUCACAAUUGGUUGUCACAACAAGAUCUAAAGGACUUAAUUAGAGAUAUGCAAAUUGUUCUAGUUGUGGAAGAAAGGCCAACAAUGAAGAAUCACACCCUCUGUAAGGAAGAAAAAACCAAAACAGAAGGGAGGUUUGUAACAAAAAAAUAUAGUAUUAUGGAGGAGGAAGGCGAUGCAACAAUAAUGAGAGUUGAAGGUGGAGAUGUAGUCAAGCAACAAUUUUUCCCAAAAUCAGAUUUACUAAUAGGAGUAUGAAUUCAUGGUUGAACUUAGAUGUGAUAAUGAUUGGAACAUCAAUGACAUUGUAAGUUUGGGAUUCCACAUUACUGGGUCAAAAUCUGGUAUACAAAAACGACUAUCAUAUGAACCACCACCCAAGCCUUCAGAUAUGAAAUUGAAGGCAGUAGCUAGUGGGUUCCCUUCCGAUGAUAAGACAAUAUCACAAUGUCAUGAGAUCAAGCUUCACUAUUCCAUCCUUGAGGACAAAGUUGUUCUGUAGUGACGUGUAAUGAUAUGAUAUAAUGUGUAUGAUAAGAGGAAACAAAUUAAGGAAUAACUGUUAGGGUGAGUGAGGUUUCCGUUAUAUAGUUAGGGGGUCCUGAUAUGCAAGGCACUUCUAGAUAAUUUUGUAGAUUGAGUUUUAGCUCUCUGUGAAGGGGAAACCCUUGGAGGAGAGAAUGCUCUCCUAUUUUGGAGUUUUUUAAGUCUAUACAAUAAAGAAUAUUACUCUUGUAUCUCUCUUCAAUUUUGGGUUCGUAACACAACCUAUUCCAAGGUGUUGUUAGUAGGAUAUUAAAUGUUCUACUAGAAGUUGUUAAAAGCUAUUAAAAUGUUCCAAAGAUCUUUUUAGUAAUGAUUACUUUAGGGUAAGAGUUCUCUGUCCAUAGAUGUUGAUGUACUAGAUGAAUCAAUUUGAAUAUAUAUCUUCUUUCUUUCAGGUAAUCCUUUCAUGUUGGUUUCGGUUCUUUAUAGGGUUGCCUGAAGUGCACCCAACUUAGGGUUCUGUUUGUUGCUGCACCCAGAGCCGCUACCACACCUUUAUUGGAGCCCGGAGCCGCCACCACACCUUUGUUGGAGCCACGGCUAGAUCUACGCUAGACCUUCCCAAAGCUUUCACCAAACCCUUGCCAUAAUUGUUUUUAUACCCUAGCCGGAGCUGUCAUUGGAGCUCUGCCAAACCUUUCGCCAGAGCUUUUGCAAAAGCUUCUGCCAUUUCCAUUGUCAGACUUAUUGUUGUCAUCACCAUAGCCAUCGUCAGGGCUUUUGUGUCUUAUUGUUUUGUUUUAAUUAAGCAUGAAGACUCCACUACAAUGUUGAUCUUUUAACUUUAGAGGUACAUGCACACAUGCACUACGUGCUGAAAUUGAACGUUUGAAAUCUCUCGUGGAGUCUAUCAAUAAGUCACCUUCUGGUACGUGCUUGGUAGCCGUGAUUGGUAAGAACUCCAAUUCCUCUUUUCAUGUUUCUAAAACUUUAUGUAAAGACUCCUGGGUUGCAAACUCUGGUGCGACAUACCAUAAGAACCCUAGAGUCUACGCAAUCAUUCCAAUUUAUUUUAUUUCCUUUUUUUAGGAGAAUGUAUUUAGUAAAAUAUUUCUUUUCUAACUCUCAUUAUUCAAGUAUAUGUUACAUGCGAUGUAAUCCAAUUGGAUAUGUGAUACAAGUGUUACACAUGCUAUAUCCAGUAAGGAAUAAAUGGUUAGUACAAAAACAAAUCAUCAACGUUUAUGCAUGAAUUUAAACAUAAUUUCUUUUGAAUAAACCAGCUUAAUAUGUGAAAAAUGCAAAUCUAAACACACUAAGGUCUUUAGAGGUAGCUUCUCACCUCCCACCUUGCCCAACGCUCCAUAAGCUGGGUUCUUUUCAGAAGUAGUCCAGGCCUCUGAAAAAUAAAUAAUUUUUAUCCUAAUCUCAUGCAAAGAAAUUUAUGAACACGAAAAUUAAGAAACAAAAAUAAUACCUGGGUAGCUAAAUAUAUAUUGUUUAAAUACAGAGGUCGUGCAUGAACAAUUGCUUGAUAUGCAUUCCUUCGCCCAUCUCUACUCUGCAGAGGAAAUUUUGGUAGGGAGAAUCAGUUCUGGGAUUGUAAGGUUGCAUCAAUUGCCAAUCAUCCGCUCAUCAUUAUGAUGUUAAAAAUAAUAUGUGGUUAAAAAUUUGAGAAGAUUAUAUUGCUGAAAUAUGGAAGGAGAAAAAGUAGCAUAUUCUAGAAUUAGUACCCCAAAGUCAAAGAAGAAGUUGGAACGGUCCACCAUAAAUAUCUCUAGUGCACUUCUCCUAAGAAGAUAUCUGUAAAAGGCAUCAAUUAAUGACAUGCAUACAACAUUAAGUUCAAAAUGUUCACUCCAUAUGGACAACAAGUUUGCACUAUAAACUGUCAAAAAGAAAACAUCAAGUAGCUAAGAAAAAUGGAAGGUGCAAUUAGAUAGGGAGAUAUUUACAAUUAGUUUCUCUUCUUGAUUCCUUUAUUCACAAUUUUUUUUAAUUUUUCUCAUUAUUCUGUAUUUGUUUUCUUUUUUUUCAUCUUGUCUCUUUUCUUUUUUUUUACUUUUCAGAACACAACUCUAAGAGACAAGAUACAUAACAUAUUUAAAAAAACAAAAACAAGAAGUGGAACCAACUAGCCAAUUCUCUGAAUCUCCCAGGAGACCGCACUUAUUCCUAAAACAAUUCUAAAGCUCCAAAAUUCCCUAAGGUUAAGGUAUCAUGUUUUUUCACAUAGGGCUAGUGUAUGAGCUUCAAAACAAAGAAAUGGGGAAAGUAUAGGCUCAAAAGGGCUAUCAAAGGAUCAAAACAAGGUAGGUUCAUCUGGCUAAAGAGGCUCAACAAUCUCAAUCUCGACUAUGUCACUGAACAAACCAACUUGCCGCAUACUGGCACUGCUCCCCUGGCCACUCAGUGCCCAAAAAGUUGUUUAUGGUAUCGAGGUCAUACCUGACAAUAUGCCCCCUCACAUAACUCCUAAACCUUCCAAUCGCAACUCCCCCUCUGGAUAAGGCGUUUGUGUAAAAUUCCUUCACCAACUCAAUGCUAGCUGGUGUAGGGUAAGUCGUCAACCUUUCCCAGUCUCUCCUCAUAAUCUAUGCUCCAAAUUCAGGAGCUAAAUCAGGAAUGAAGGUAGCCUUCCUCUCCAUAAGUAAUCUCCUUUCCUACACAGUUGCAAAGUGUUCUUCAUGCUGUUUGGAGAGGAACCUUUGAGAGUAAAAUCCUCUUGGCCUUUCAGGCUCCUUCCUCUUGUUGCCAGUAUUUCUCCCCCUUCUUGAUGUUGAUGCCAUUCCUGCAUAAGAUAUAAUUCGAAACAAACCACAGGAAUUCAUCAUUAGAAGUUAGUGCAUCAUCAAUCAAUUCCAGACCAGUUACAGUGCAAUAUUGAGGGUAAAACAGGGUCCUCCCUCCGUAUCCCUGCAUCAAAAUCAAGCAUCAAACAAACAUUGCAGCAGACCGCUCGGCGUCCAAGAGGCCCGCCCAGCGGUAUGCUUCAGCAGCAACACCGCGCGGCGUUGAAGGAGACCGCCCGGCGGUGCGUUUGGAUUUUCAUAAAAACUCUUCUAAACUGCCCUAAUUUCCACUCAAACACUAAUUUCAUCCAUUUAGACAAGAUUCAAGCAAUUCAAUCAGUCUAAAGAGUUCAUAUUUCAACAAUUCAUGCAUAAAAAUCCAAAAUCCUAAUUUGUCGUGUUCCUAAACAUGUUCUUCAUCAAAUUCCAAAAAUAGAAACUUACGAAUGAAGUUGCACAACUUACUUGAGUGGAGAUGCUAAAUGCUUGCAAGGAUUCUUCCAAUUGAUGAUGAAUAACUCUCAAUGCCCAACUCUCACCAAAAACCCCAAAUUUUAGACAAGAAACUAGGUUUUUGUGAGUGAGUGGUAAGAAAAUGUGGGAAAAUCUCUUUGGAAACCUUUUGAAGGUGCAAAUUGGGUGCUAAAGCUCAAGGAGACCGCUUGGCGAAACGCAAAGGAAGGGAUUCAAGUGCAGAACACCUAAAACCGCCCAGCAUUAAAGAGCUUAGGCUGAGGUGUUCGCCACCACCGCCUGGCGGUAAAAUGCACCGCUCGGCGGUGAGCGGUAGUUUUUCCACUCCUCUUCUUUGCUUGCUUUUGCGCGAUUCCUCCCUGUAGCACCUGAUUUUUGCCUUCAAUUUUUUAAUUACAUGUCUUUCCUCACUAAAAUAUACAUGCAAACCUAUAAUGCACUUAAGACAGAGUUUGAAAACACACAAACAAUCAACUGGGUUGCCUCCCAAGCAGCGCUUGUUUAACGUCACAAGCUUAACCCAAACCUGUUUAGCACUCAUCAGUAAGUGCAAUCCUUACCAACACCCAUCAGUAGGUGUACCUUCUUGGUAUGCUUCAGUGGAUACAAAAAGUUAGCAUCCCUCAGUAGAUGCUACCCAGAAAAUGUCCAAAAAUCCAAAGAAUUACAAGUUCAAAAAUGAAACAAACCUAAAACUAAUGUUUUACAAAAAAAUAAAUUGUCCCAGCAACAUCAUGUGUUAUCCUUUGUGUUGGUGUCUUCAAUACACCAAAUCCUCAGCUUUCUUCUAUCCACUCGCUUGGUAUGUCUACUGCAUGGUGCUUCAAUCUCCACGACCCUUUCCUCUUUCAACUCUUUUAACACCCACUCCCUCCUCUUACAUUUCACUUUAAUGCCCGGUCGGAAUGGGUCUUCUUUUGAUUCAGGAUGAAUGGUUCUUCCUUGUUUACUUACGGGUACCUGCAAAACAUUACAGUUGUCAGUAUAAUCAGUACCUGAUGUGUUAUCUUCAUAUUCAGCUUCUCUCCCUGAAUCCUCAGGUCCGACUCUCUUUUUUAUUUUGACCUCAUUCUCCUCAUAGCCAGUAUAAAGAAGCGAAUACUCUUGGUCCCUCAUCAUUAUUCUUCUAUCAUAGACACUAAUAAGCAUCUUUGAAGUUUCCAUGAAGGGUCUUUGAUGAGUCAAUAUUUUCUUGACUUUACUUAGUUUAUUGUGUUAGAAUUAAUCAGGGAAUUGUGCUUAAUUGUCCGGUAUUUUCCCGUUUUCCUAAUUAUGCUUAAUUUGACUGGAAAUUCUAAUUUUAAUUAAUUUGAAUUUUCUGAGCUAAUUAUUUGCAUUAUUAUUUGCAGGGAAAAUUUUGGAGAUACAAUUUGGAGCAUUGGGAAGGAGACAAAAUAAAUUCAAGACUCUCAUAAUUGACAUUUUAAAUUUUAGUUAUCUUGUAAUUUAAUUGUUUAAAAUUUUUAGACAAACUUUUGCACAUUGGGCCAUUGUUGGCAAAUUUAUGAUGGACCUAAAGAGUAGGACACUUGACCUAGGGUUUUCUUUUAUUUUUAGGGUGGCGCGACACUUGAGCCGUCACUUUUUGGCAUUACUUGGCUUAGAACAUUUUUGUUUUUCACGGUUUUUUUCUGGAAAUAUGUUCAUGCUACUGGACUUUGGUUGAUUGGAAGGUUGCUCACGGUUUUUCAUGUUGGUUGAAUGAAUCAAGUUUUUUUCUUUUUCCCUUCCAUUAUGUGCAAUGCUGCAACAUUCCCUUUUCAUUUACUUUGGAGUUUCACAUUGAAUGAGAAAGCUGGAAGCCAAGACACUUCUUUUAUUUGGUGCUUUGAAUUUUUCUUGUGAGAGAUGAAAAGAAACUCAUGACAAUUGCUUGCUAGCCGACACACUCUAAGAAUUUUUUUACUUUUGAAUGUUUUUUUUUUCGAGUAGCCGUCACUUGCUCUUAGUUCUUUAGGCUGGAACGUUUACUUUUUCUUGGGGAAUAUACAUUUGUUCACGG